rnacentral:rRNA from 1 species
UACGCCUUCAUGAAGCCGGAAUUGCUAGUAAUGGCAGGUCAGCAUACUGCCGUGAAUACGUUCCCGGGCCUUGUACACACCGCCCGUCACACCAUGAGAGUUGGGAAUACCCGAAGCCUGUGAGCCAACAAACGAGGCAGCAGUCGAAGGUAGAAUCAAUGAUUGGGGUGAAGUCGUAACAAGGUAUC